UGGUGGGUAGUUUGACUGGGGCGGUCUCCUCCUAAAGAGUAACGGAGGAGCACGAAGGUUGGCUAAUCCUGGUCGGACAUCAGGAGGUUAGUGCAAUGGCAUAAGCCAGCUUGACUGCGAGCGUGACGGCGCGAGCAGGUGCGAAAGCAGGUCAUAGUGAUCCGGUGGUUCUGAAUGGAAGGGCCAUCGCUCAACGGAUAAAAGGUACUCCGGGGAUAACAGGCUGAUACCGCCCAAGAGUUCAUAUCGACGGCGGUGUUUGGCACCUCGAUGUCGGCUCAUCACAUCCUGGGGCUGAAGUAGGUCCCAAGGGUAUGGCUGUUCGCCAUUUAAAGUGGUACGCGAGCUGGGUUUAGAACGUCGUGAGACAGUUCGGUCCCUAUCUGCCGUGGGCGCUGGAGAACUGAGGGGGGCUGCUCCUAGUACGAGAGGACCGGAGUGGACGCAUCACUGGUGUUCGGGUUGUCAUGCCAAUGGCACUGCCCGGUAGCUAAAUGCGGAAGAGAUAAGUGCUGAAAGCAUCUAAGCACGAAACUUGCCCCGAGAUGAGUUCUCCCUGAGACUUAGAGUCUCCUGAAGGAACGUUGAAGACGACGACGUUGAUAGGCCGGGUGUGUAAGCGCAGCGAUGCGUUG
rnacentral:rRNA from 2 species